rnacentral:rRNA from 1 species
GUGUCAGCAGCCGCGGUAAUACGUAGGGUGCAAGCGUUAAUCGGAAUUACUGGGCGUAAAGCGUGCGCAGGCGGUUUCGUAAGUCUGUCGUGAAAUCCCCGGGCUUAACCUGGGAAUGGCGAUGGAGACUGCGAGGCUAGAGUUUGGCAGAGGGGGGUAGAAUUCCACGUGUAGCAGUGAAAUGCGUAGAGAUGUGGAGGAACACCGAUGGCGAAGGCAGCCCCCUGGGUCAAAACUGACGCUCAUGCACGAAAGCGUGGGGAGCAAACAGGAUUAGAUACCCCCGUAGUCC